UACGUAGGGUGCGAGCGUUGUCCGGAAUUAUUGGGCGUAAAGAGCUCGUAGGCGGUUUGUCGCGUCUGUCGUGAAAACUGGAGGCUUAACCUUCAGCUUGCGGUGGAUACGGGCAGACUUGAGUUCGGUAGGGGAGACUGGAAUUCCUGGUGUAGCGGUGAAAUGCGCAGAUAUCAGGAAGAACACCGACGGCGAAGGCAGCUCGCUGGGACGGUACUGACGCUGAGGCGCGAAAGCGUGGGGAGCGAACAGG
rnacentral:rRNA from 1 species